rnacentral:misc_RNA from 1 species
UGGGUUUGACAUAUACCGGAAAGCCGUAGAGAUACGGCCCCCCUUGUGGUCGGUAUACAGGUGGUGCAUGGCUGUCGUCAGCUCGUGUCGUGAGAUGUUGGGUUAAGUCCCGCAACGAGCGCAACCCUUGUCCUAUGUUGCCAGCGGUUCGGCCGGGGACUCAUAGGAGACUGCCGGGGAUAACUCGGAGGAAGGUGGGGAUGACGUCAAGGUACGGAC